AUCAAAUGAAAGGGCUCAACAAGCAGAAUACAAACUAUAAAAAAUUGAAAUACAAGAUGGCGGCCGCUACAAAAUGGCGGAUAACGUAGGUUUUAUCAAUCCCAUCAACAUGGGUAUCAAAUGAAAGGUCUCAACAAGUAGAAUACAAUUUACUAUGCAAAAUUGAAAUCUAAGCUGGCCGCCGCUACCAAAUGUCUGAUAACAAUUUUUUAUCAAUCCUACCAAUAUGGGUAUCAAAUAAAAGGGCUUGACAAGAAGAAUACAG
rnacentral:misc_RNA from 1 species